rnacentral:rRNA from 1 species
GAUGAACGCUGGCGGCGUGCUUAACACAUGCAAGUCGAACGGGAAAUAUUUCAUUGAGACUUCGGUGGAUUUGAUUUAUUUCUAGUGGCGGACGGGUGAGUAACGCGUGGGUAACCUGCCUUAUACAGGGGGAUAACAGUCAGAAAUGGCUGCUAAUACCGCAUAAGCGCACAGAGCUGCAUGGCCCAGUGCGAAAAACUCCGGUGGUAUAAGAUGGACCCGCGUUGGAUUAGCUUGUUGGUGAGGUAACGGCCCACCAAGGCGACGAUCCAUAGCCGGCCUGAGAGGGUGAACGGCCACAUUGGGACUGAGACACGGCCCAGACUCCUACGGGAGGCAGCAGUGGGGAAUAUUGCACAAUGGGGGAAACCUUGAUGCAGCGACGCCGCGUGAAGGAAGAAGUAUCUCGGUAUGUAAACUUCUAUCAGCAGGGAAGAUAGUGACGGUACCUGACUAAGAAGCCCCGGCUAACUACGUGCCAGCCGCCGCAGUAA